rnacentral:rRNA from 1 species
AUGCGACAACGCAUCUGGCCGGAGGAGAACAUGGCAGCGGCAUCUCCUGGCGGCAAUGCUUCAAGGCGACGGGCUGAGGCGGCGGUGCAGGGAUCCGCUCGGUGUGCUGUUGCUGCUGAGGGCGGACGGGGGAGCCGGGUCGAGGUGGCAGGUUCGUCCGUGAUGCCAAGCGAGCGAGACCAACGGGGAAAGGAACAGGGCGUGGCCUCACAUGGUGGCUUGCCGUCUGCUUCACUGUUUCGUACCUUUCUCUCUACAAUUCCUUCACCUUCAGAAACUAUGAACAGGUCUCUACAUCUAUUCUUCAAAUUUUCAGAUCCACUGCCCCUUCUAGCUCUCUACACUGUACCCUGA